AAGAAAAUAUUGAUUGAUUUAGCUGCUCUAGUUUAAUUUAGUAAAGGACAAGAUUGCGUUUCCAGGGCUACAAUCCAAAAUCGCCAAUUAUUGACGUGUUUGGAAUCUUGGCAACAUAAUGAACACAGUUUUCUGGAUUUAUCUUUUUCUGCUCAAAUGAAAGAUUUGACAAAAGUAUGUUUGUCCACCACAUGCAUAUGUACAAAAUGAGCUUGAAACAAAGCAACAAUGCCUCUCCCCAUUUGGGGGGCCAGCAUUGUCUGUUCUCCAACUUUUAUCAUUGGGCAAAAGGUGCUUUCACCCCUUUGGAUAGCACGUUGGCCCCAUUCAAGCCAUCAUUUCUAUUCCUCAUUCUGAGCAUGGU
rnacentral:lncRNA from 1 species